AGGACGAACGCUGGCGGCGUGCUUAACACAUGCAAGUCGAGCGGAAAGGCCCUUCGGGGUACUCGAGCGGCGAACGGGUGAGUAACACGUGAGCAACCUGCCCCUAGCUUCGGGAUAGCUCCGGGAAACCGGAAUUAAAUACCGAAUAUGGCCAUGGACGACAUCAGCCAUGGUGGAAAGUUUUUCGGCUAGGGAUGGACUCGCGGCCUAUCAGCUAGUUGGUGAGGUAACGGCCCACCAAGGCGACGAC
rnacentral:rRNA from 1 species